AUGAAACUAAAUUGUGAUUAUUUGGGUGUGGUGUCACUGACAGUGCUGGAUUUGAAGUGUUUCCGUGUGAAGCGACUUGCCAUCGCAUUCAUUUGUGCAGAUAACUAAUUGUGCGUGUACAUUUUUUGCAUGCAUUAUCAUGGAGAGGUGGGUGAGGGUGAGAAAUGAUGAAAGAUAAUGGAGGAACGAGGGAAAAGUCCAUACAGUGGUAAUGGCACAGGAGGGCGGGACUUUUAUGCUGAAGUGCUUUCCAACUAAAUUUUCACUGACGUCACUUUUUACACAAUAUCCUUGAAUAGCACCUGUGUGUAUGGGGGUUGUCUGUCUGUCAGCUUUGAGUAAAAAGCAUAACCCAUACCUACAAAACCUUUCCAUCAGUGUCCAACACUGCUCAGUCAGACAGCUAGCGUCCUGCCGGCGCUAAGGCCGCAGAGGACCUGUCGCUCUCUAUUUGAAGACUCCUCUGAGCAGAUUCCUUCUCUUUGAACCUCUAGAACUGGACCGUAGGUUCUGCAACAGUUCCAGGCAUCUUUUAGUCCUUUCCCCUCCUUUUUUUUGUCAAGAGAAUUUUUCCCCACUCUCUUUCUUUUUCUCUCUCUCUUGAUUUUUUUGUCAGUGCUUUAGUGUCCUCUUGUUUUCAUUUUUCAAGUACCAUUUAAACGUCUUUGGUCCACAAGUGUUUUUCUUUUCCCUGUAACAAACAAAUCCCUUGUCUGCAAAAGAACAAAAAUUCUCCUGGACGAAGACACAAUCUAGCUGGAAGUGUUUAGCUGUCAGUUGUCCUUCCACUGACAAUCUUGUGCCAAGCCCUCCACGCUGCGCCACGACUUUACGUGACUGCCAGCGCUGUGGCCGGAAACGCCACUGGAAACUAUGGCGACACCCCUGUGGUCAUCACUUUUGCCCUGACUGCAUGGACACAAUCAUAGAUGCUGGCUUCCGGAACAUUGAGGGUCUGGACUCAAGUCCCUGCCCCGUGUGCAGAAGACAGGCCAUACCUGCUGUGUGACUCUGUAUAUCUACACAGUGUAUAGAUCAAAUGGGGGAGUAAUAUGACAGCAAUGAUAAUAAUAAUCAUAUUUACACGAAUAGCAGAUAUGCAUUUGAAUUGAAAUAAUUUUUAAACCAUUGAUUCAAAACAUUAGCCAUAUCUUAAAAAUAAGAUAUUAUUCUAUGCAAUGAUUUACACCAAGAAAUUAUUGUGUUGUUAUGCUGUUUGUGUCUGUGAUUAAAAAAAAGAUACUAAUUUGUUCUCACUGCAGUUGUGUCUUCCACUGUGCCACCAGCACAUUAUACUAUUACAAUAUAAAACCACAUCACACAAUAUCACGUUUGAACCACU
ensembl:lncRNA